rnacentral:rRNA from 1 species
UGGACCUCAGAUCAGGCAAGAUCACCCGCUGAGUUUAAGCAUAUCACUAAGCGGAGGAAAAGAAACUAACGAGGAUUUCCUU